rnacentral:rRNA from 1 species
UUGUUGGUAAGGUAAAGGCUUACCAAGGCUUCGAUCAGUAGCUGGUCUGAGAGGACGGCCAGCCACACUGGGACUGAGACACGGCCCAGACUCCUACGGGAGGCAGUAGUGGGGAAUUUUGGACAAUGGGGGAAACCCUGAUCCAGCCAUGCCGCGUGAGUGAAGAAGGCCUUCGGGUUGUAAAGCUCUUUCAGCCGGAACGAAACGGUUACGGAUAAUACCCGUGACUACUGACGGUACCGGAAGAAGAAGCACCGGCUAACUACGUGCCAGCAGCCGCGGUAAUACGUAGGGUGCGAGCGUUAAUCGGAAUUACUGGGCGUAAAGCGUGCGCAGGUGGUUUUGUAAGUCAGAUGUGAAAGCCCCGGGCUCAACCUGGGAACUGCGUUUGAAACUACAAGACUAGAGUGUGGCAGAGGGGGGUGGAAUUCCGCGUGUAGCAGUGAAAUGCGUAGAGAUGUGGAGGAACACCGAUGGCGAAGGCAGCCCCCUGGGUUAACACUGACACUCAGGCACGAAAGCAUGGGGAGCAAACAGGAUUAGAUACCCUGGUAGUCCAUGCCCUAAACGAUGUCAACUAGUUGUCGGGCCUUUACGGGCUUGGUAACGUAGCUAACGCGUGAAGUUGACCGCCUGGGGAGUACGAUCGCAAGAUUAAAACUCAAAUGAAUUGACGGGGACCCGCACAAGCGGUGGAUUAUGUGGAUUAAUUCGAUGCAACGCGAAAAACCUUACCUACCCUUGACAUGUAUCGAAGCCCGCAGAAAAGCGGGGGUGCCCGAAAGGGAACGAUAACACAGGUGCUGCAUGGCUGUCGUCAGCUCGUGUCGUGAGAUGUUGGGUUAAGUCCCGCAACGAGCGCAACCCUUGUCAUUAAUUGCCAUCAUUUAGUUGGGCACGUUAAUGAGACUGCCGG